UGGAUAGGGGACCGGCGCACCACAGGCCGCAGGUCGCAGGACCCGAUUCGUGUUCGCCUCCUCUGACUCCGACCUCUUCUGCUCCUCUUCUACUCACCUCCGUCGUCACCCCAGCCCCCAAACCAGAUCCCGUCACGACGCCGCCGGUCGCCCUCGGCCCUACCGAAGUCUCGUUGCUGGACACGGAGGCUCGGCCGCUCGGGGUCAGGAAGCGACUACGAAACCUCACCUGUCGCUCCGUCGGAUCUGCCCCUGCCGGCCUGCUGGGGAAGUGGUCGAGGAUCCAGGAGAUGGUGAACCAGAUCUCGCAGAUGAUGGAGGUGAGCCACAGGCCGAUGUCGUUGUCGGCUCAAAUAGUCGAUCCGCCCCCUCGCCCCUCGGCAACACCAUCAUCAAGGUGCAGCUGAUGGGCGAUGACUGAUGUUGUCCACGAAGAACAACUAAUCAAGAUGAAUGUGCCCCCACAACAUUGCUAAUUUGCUAUGAUUUUUUCACCAAAUAUGGCUCAGAUGACACAUCCUUCGACUGCACUUAUCUUGUAUGAACGUAUGCAUUGGAUUGGCCGAUUGGGUUGCAUUGCAGUUUGAGACAAUGCAAAUAUAAAGACACCACGUCUUUUCUUGGAGAAUUAAGAUGUUCGUUUCAUUACUGAGGUAUUCUUCUCUACUUGGAUUCUGCCUAGCUCAUAUUUUUGUCCUUGAUCCGCCGUUGCCGCCACCGACUCAUCUGCGACGCCUCUAGCGCCGCUUGUGCAUGGCUGUGGUGGGUGGGAAGGCCAGGCACGACGACGCCACGUUGGGAAGUCAGGCGCGACGCCGGUUUGAUGGAUGAGUUUGGGGUAGUGAAUCCACUGAUCCACAUCGGCGUCAUGGAUGGCCUCGUUCCUCUCUAUCGCCGCCAUGCCUGCGAAUCCGAUGGGGAUUCCCUGUGUUGUUGUCCUUCACAGGGACGACCACGCCCACCAUGCCGUUGUCAACAGUCCGGUGGCCUGAAUAGACUAAGCAGGAAGAGUAUUGCUAACCAUGGACGUACAGGGAGCAGAGGAUGGAGGAGCAGAGGAUGGAGGAAGACAAGUAGACGUGGGCCACCUAUCAAUACUGAGCGUUUGUGUUGAUUCAUGGAUGGCAGGUGUUGGUGCCACACUGCUACUGUUAAAGUUGCACUUCAGCGGUAGCAGUAACAACUCAGCCCAUCUCGAUCCGAAAAUGGGCAUCUCUAUUGGGGAAGAAAGAUAUGACGCAUAGGCCCAGGGGCAAAAUCGACAAUUCCUAGUGUUUCUCUCUCCAGCUCAUCCGGAAAUGAAUAUUUUAAUGUGUGCGGGUGUGUCAUGUAAGGGAUGGAUGGCUGAUGGGCCUUUGGAGUGGGCUUGCAAGCUGGACAGUUGGGCUGGCUUUGGCCCAAGGUGAGAGAGAUCUAAAAUGGAACACAGGUGCAAUGGGGGAACAACGACUCCUCUUCCCCACUGCUAUCCCUACCUCCAAAUCUGAUUCUCUAGUUCCUAGGCCCCUGUUCUUCCCAAUCUACUGCUUUUCCUAGUCUAUAACUCUAUUUCUCCCCAAUUUGUAUCUUGGAUCUUGUUUUUGGUUCAAAUGGCAAUAUAACAUUUGUGUGUGGUGUU